rnacentral:rRNA from 1 species
AUGACUAGACCCAAGCAGACCCGUAGGAGAAACAGCUCCACGUGCCCUCCGCCGGCGUUAGAUGCACCGCCAAAAUGGGGAUAUGGCGGGGAGGACAUCAUUAUGACUCUAAUCUUUCCGUGCCGUGUAUGGCCCAAACCUCCAGAGACGUACGUGGCGUGGAGGUUGGACGUCUACUUCUCCGGCGUGAUUGAAUUCCACGAUCGGUGGGAGGAGAAGGCUGUUAUGGCCUAUUCAUCGGUAGCUACGAGGACAAGGACAACCUGCUGCACGAUUGAACCAGUGACAACAAAGACAGGAUCUACAGGGCAGCGCCUCCCGCCUUCGCCGCCGGCGCUUCCUGGCCAGGCUCCGAAGGGAGACGUGUGGGAGGGCGCCGCCGAGGAGGUCCUGCGCACGAAGGACCACGUCCUGGCGUCACGGCCCCCUUCCGUCGUCCCCGACAUCAUCAUGUACGGCUCGUCUGACAUCGCCUUCGCGCCGUACGGCGAGUACUGGCGGCAGGCGAGGAAGCUCGUCACCACACACAUGCUGAGCGUCAGCAUGGCAAUGGCCAAGAUCAACGAGGCAGCCACAGCCGGUAGUACAGUUGACAUGAGCGAGCUGCUCAACUCAUUCUCGAAUGACAUGGCAUGCCGUAUCGUGUCAGGCAAGUUCUUCCUGAAAGAUGGGCGGAGCAAGUUGUUCCGGGAACUCAUCAGGCUUCUGGGCGGGUUCAACUUGGAGGAGUACUUCCCAGCAUUGGGUAGGGUAGGAGUGCUUAAGAGGGUGGUUUGUACCAAGGCCGAAAGAGUGAGGAACAGAUGGGCCGAUCUGCUGGACAAGGUGAUCGAUGAUCGUGUGAGCAAGCGCAAAUCAGCAUCUGAUCACAAGGAUGGUGAUUUCGUAGAUAUUCUAUUGUCUGUUCAGCAGGAGUAUAAUCUCACAAGAGAGCACAUGAAAGCUCUCCUCAUAGAUGUAUUUUUCGGUGCAACAGACACGUCUGCUAACGUCCUCGAAUUCACCUUGGCUGAGCUCAUGAGGAGGCCACACUUCAUGGGAAAGCUACAAGAUGAAGUGAGGAGUAUCGUACCCGGGGACAAGAAAUUAGUCUCUCAGGCUGUAUCCUAUUGCACCUCUCCUUGCUCCGCACCUUGCAUGGCUGACUGUACCAUCGACGGAUACAUGGUUCCUGCAGGGACGCGUGUCGUCGUCAAUGCAUGGGCCAUUGGGAGGGAUUCCAGCUCCUGGGAGGAUGCUGAAGAGUUCAUACCUGAAAGAUUUACAGAUGAAGGCAAUGCUAGGAAUGCCAACUUUAAGGGGAACGAUUUUCAGUUCUUACCAUUCGGGGCAGGACGAAGGAUAUGCCCUGGUAUAAACCUCGGAAUCGCCAAUGUUGAGCUUAUGUUGGCAAACAUCAUGAACCAUUUUGAGUGGGAACUUCCGAUUGGGGUUGAGAGAAAAGAUAUCGAUAUGACAGAGGUGUUUGGGAUAAGCAUUCGUAGGAAGGAGAAACUAUUGUUGAUUCCAAAGUCACACAUAUUUAAAGUUGAUUCACGGCUCGGGAAACAACGAAACCUAGAAGGAGCCCGCCGCGGAUGUGGGUGCCGCCAUCACGGCUUUGACUUGGCCAACUGGCGGGUGGCCCAGUAUAGUUUCUCUUCAGGCAAAGACCUCCUCGUGUCGGCUGGCGACUCGCAUGAAGCUCUCAUGGCCUCGCUGGCGACCCCUACCCAUACUACUACUGGUACGGUCGCUAAAUGCUCCUACUGCUGCCCGCCGCCGCCGGUGUAUGUUGUUGCUGCUGCUGCUCGUUGCCGUUGGUGUGUGCUCCUGCUGUUGCUACUCCUCCCUGAUGCAUGCUGCUCGCCGCUGCUCCUCCUUGUUGCGUGCUGCUACUACUGCUGCUUGUUGCUGCUCCACCGUCUGUGCGUGCUGCUACUGUGCGCUGCUGCUCCGCCGCCGGUGCGUGCUGCUGCUGCUUGCAGCCGCCGGUGCAUGCUGCUGCUCCUCCCAGUUGCGUGCCUCUGCUGCUGCUCGCCGCCAGCGUGUGGAGGGGUGGGGGAGAAGGAAGGCUACAAUGAGCCCCGACGGCCGUAUGAGCAGAAGGAGAAAAAUCACUCCCGGACAAAAAUCGAGCCUAUCAAAACACACCGUGUUCCACUUGUCUUCCUCACAUGCAUGCACGGUCCUUCUACGGUGAGUGCCGUGGAUGGUCAAAACUUGGAGUGCCGUGGGGCCGCCUGA